CUAUCUGCAAGAAAAUGGCUUCGAACACGCUAAUGAGCUGUCGCGUCGCCGCCGCGUGUCCGUCGUUUUAGUCAUCAUCGAAGUCAAAUUUCGUCUCCGGUUACAUAAAAAAAAAAAAAAAAUUCGUCUCCGGUCGAGUGUCACUGCCCAUCGCCGGCGGCAACCGAGUCAUGAUGUCCGCCAAUUGGAUGCCAGAAUUGAAAAAACAGAAGUUCAGGGGUUUCAAACUACGACACGUCUGAUUGUUGUGAAAAUUAACGAUGGAACUUCUCCUAUCGAGGUAAAAUUUGGUAAGCUCGUUCUAGACUCUCUGUUCUUUGAUUUGUAUGGUGGAAUUUUGCAUUAGUUGCCGAAAUCAGAAUCUACGGGAUUGACUUGGUUCCUAAGUUACAACUUGUUAAGUUGUGUUCUGUUGGUGUAUUGAGGUUAUAAUAUUGAUGUAUAUAUUCUAUCAUCUAGGGUUGUGUUUUUUGUACACGGAUUGUUGUGUGGACAUUGUAAUCCAGCUUAGCGAUUUGUGAGUGGACUACAGUCUCAUGGUUUUUAUUCCUCACAUCUAUGGAGUUUUCCACGUUAAAAAUCGUUAUCUAGUUUGAUUUCGAUACCAUUGCACUAGAUAUUGUCAUCCUUGCAUGUUUACACAAGUAAGAGGUUCGUUUACUGAUUCGUAUCGUACGAUCAAAGUAACGUAAACCCCUCAAUAAGUGGUAUCAGAGUACCCGAUUGUGCGGAGCACUUGUGUAAACGAUGAAGGCAAAUACUAGUCGGAUGGUGAGUUUGAACGGUACUAACUAUCACGUGUGGAAGGACAAGAUGGAUAAUAUGCUUUACGUAAAGGAAUGUUAUACUGUUGAUCUUUGAGGAAAAACUGAAGGGCAAAACUGAUGAGCAAUGGACAUUGUUGCAUCGACAAGUUUGUAUCUUCAUACAAUAGUGGGUGGAUGAUAACGUUUUGAACCAUGUGGCUAGUAAGACUAAUGCUCAAUAUUUAUAGAGCAAGUUGGAACAGUUGUACGCUCGAAACACUGGGAAUCGCAAGUUGUACUUCAUUAAGAAACUAGUCGGUUUGAAGUACGUCGAAGGAAAUCCAGUGAUAUAUCACUUGAAUUUGUUUCAAGGUCCAUUGAACAAGUUGUCAGACAUGAGAUCCUUCGAAGAUGAGGUUCAAAGUUUAUGGCUUCUCAGUACACUUUCGGAUUCAUGUGAGACAUUCAAGAUAAGGUUCAGAGUUUCGACAACUAUAUCAUGUCUCCCAAGAAUCCGGAAGUGUGUUGAAAAACCAUAAACUUUGAACUCCAUCUUUGAAUAUGAUCCCCAUAUCUGAUAACUUGUUCAACAGACCUUGAAACACAUUCAAGUGAUCUAUUACAUCACCGGACUUCCUUCGACGAACUUCAAAUCGACCAAUUUCUUGAUGAAGUACAACUUGUAAUUUCCAGUGUUUCGAGGUUACAACUACUCCAAUUUACUCCACAAAGAUCGAACAUUAGUCUCACCAGCCAUAUGGUUCAAAACAUUAUUAUCCACCCACUAUCGUAUCAAGGCAGAAAUUUAUCGAUGAAGCAAUAUCCAUUACUCAUAGUUUUGCCCAUCCGGUUUUUUCUCAGCGAUCAACGGUAGAUGACUUUUUUUCACGUAGAGCAUAUCAUAUAUCUUGCCUUUUCACACGUGAUAGUUAGUACUGUUCAAACUCAUCAUCCGACUAAUAUUGAUCUCUAUCGUUUACACAAGUGCUCUACACAACCAGGUGCUAUGAUACCACUUGUUAGGAUUUUUACGUUACUUUGACCGUACGACACGAAUCAGUAACACAAACCUCUUGUGUAAAUCUGCGAGGAUGAUAAUAUCUAGUGCAGUAAUACCGAAAUCAAACGAGACAAUGAUUUUUAACGUGGAAAAGUUUCUUGGAUGCCAUGAGUAAAAACCGCGGGACCGUAGUCCACUCAAAAUCCACUAUAACUGGAUAUAACGUCCACACAACAAUCUCUUGUAUACAAGAAACACAACCGAGGUUAUAGAAUAUACACGUCAAUAUUCUAACCUCAAUACACCAAGAGAUCACAACUUAACAAGUUGUAACUUAGGUACCAAGUCAACCUCAAAGAACAGAGGGUCUAGAAUGAGCAUACCAAAUUUCACCUCGAUCGGAGAAGAAUCCAUCCUCUGAUUUUUACAACAAUAAGAUCUAUCGCGGUUUGAAACCCCUAGACGAACAACUUUCAUAAAACCUAUGUUUCUUCAAUUCUAACCGUUGAAAUUAAGAUCCAAAACAAGAACAAAGAGUGUGUAGAAGCUCUCAAAUUUCAGAUCGAUCGGAUAAGAGAUCGAUAUUCGAUCGAUCGUUUGAUCAAAACCGUUCAAAAUUAUUUUUUCACUCAUUUUCUCCAUUUCUCUCUUUCUCUCUUGCGGUUCUUCUUCUUCUUGUUGUGAUUUAUCUACACUCCCAAACUCCCUUAUUUAUAGAAGUUCUAGCACAAUUUUCUUCAACAAAAAUGGCUAUAAGAUUCAAACAAAAUGGCUUCAAAGAUGGUGGUUUCAAAAAUGGUGGUUCAUAUUCUCAAAGGAGGUGCCUAACUUUGAAGAACAAUUUCUCCACCUCCAAAUCAUGUCCACAUGUAAGAAAUUUAACACAUGGUACAACCUGAAGGUUUUAUUGAGAAGGACAAAGAGGACUACGUUCAUUGGUUGAAGAAAAAGCUUUAUGGGUUGAAAGAAGUACCGGGACAAUGGUACAAGAAUUUUGAAUCGAUUGUGGGGGAGCAUGGUUACAAGAAAACGACCUCAAAUUGAAGAUAAUUUUAUCAUCUUUCUGCUCUACGUGGAUGAUAUGUUGAUUGUGGGUAAGAACACAGGGAAGAUAAUGGAGUUGAAGAAACAACUUGGUCGGUUCUUUGUCAUGAACAAUUUGGGACCAACGAAUCAAAUUCUUCGGAUAAGAAUUAAUCAUGAUAGAAGUAACAAGUUGUUGUAUCUGUCGGAAGAGAAGUACAUUGAGAAAGUACUUCAACGGUUCCAUAUGGAGAAAUCUAAAGCUGUGAAUUCAUCUCUUACUUCACACUUUAGAUUAAGCAGUCAACAGAGUCCAAGUACAGAUUCGAAGAAGAAAGAUAUGAGACGUGUUCCAUACACCUAUGGAGUGGGAAGUUUGAUAUAUGCUAUGGUUUGUAUAAGACCAGAUAUAGAUCACGUUGUUGAGGUUGUCAGUCAGUUUCUUUCAAAUCUAGGAAGAGAACAUUGACAUCUAUUGAAGUAGAUUUUGAGUUAUCUUCGAGGGGCUUCUAGCUUGAGAAUUGUGCUUGGAGGUGAAAAACCUUUGUUGGUUGGAUUCACAGAUUCUGACAUGGCUAUCCAAAUUCUCGAAAAUCUACGUCAAGUUACUUGGUAAUAUUUACAAGCGGGGUUAUGGCAUGGCAAUCGCAGUUGCAGAAAUGCAUUGUAUUUUCUACCAUUGAAACUGAGUUUAUUGCCGUAAUGGAAAAUUGUAAGGAGUUGUUGAGGAUGAAGUGGUUUCUUGAGCAGUUUGGGUUGAAACAAUAUAGGCAUGUCUUGUUAUGCUACAAUCAGAGCAUCACUCAUCUUGGGAAGAAACAGACGUUCGAUUCAAAAUCGAAGUAUAUUGAUGUGAGAUAUCACUGGAAUUCAAGAUGUCGUUGAUUCGAAAGAGGUUGAAGUCGAGAAGGUUCAUAUUGAUGACAAAGAUACUUCCUAGAGGGAAGCUUGCUAUUUGUCGCAAGAUUGGUGGGAUGGUGGAUUGUCCACAUAGUCGGGAAAUGGAAAAUUGUUGAGUUCCUCCCAUGUUGAUAAGAUUUUGGGGUGGAGAAACUAUUCUUCAAAUUAGCACGUAUUUCGACAAUAGAAGCCACUAUUUUUGAAGUCACCAUUGAAACCAUUUUGUUUAAAUCUUACAGCCAUUUUUCUGGAAGAAAAUGGUGGUAGAACUCCUAUAAAUAGAGGAGUUUGGGACUGCAGAUGAAUUACAAUAACAACAAGAAAAAACACAAGAGAGAAAAGGGAGAAGAGGAGUGAAAAAACAGCUUUGAACGCUUUUGAUCAAACGAUUGAUCGGAUAUCAAUCUCUUAUCCGAUCUAUCUAAAAGUUUUUAGAGAGCUUCUACACUCUUUUUUCUUGGGUUGGAUCUUGAUUUCAAUAGUUAGAAUUGAAAAAAAAAACAGGUUUUACCAAAGUUGUUUAUCCAGGGGUUUCAAAGAGCGACUAAUCAGAUUGUUGUGAAAAAAAACGGUGGAUUCUUCUCCAAUUGAGAGACUUUGGAUUCGACCUACUAAGAGAAGUGUUAGAGAAUUUGGAAAGGUAUAAAGAGUCAGAGCUUAUCCACUGCAUAUGAUUCAAAGUGGGCGGUCAUCCCGAGAGGACAAGCCACAUACUUGGGAAACUCUGUGCCUUGGUGGAUUCUACCGACAAUUCCAGUGACCAAGUUCUUGGCUAUUGCCUUUACGGAACACGUCAGAGAAGUAUGGAAAAAGAUCUCGAGAAGAAGAAAUACUCGGGAGAAACUUUCGACCCUUUUGGAUGCUUCAAAGACCCUAAGAAGUUCGAGUAAUUGAAGGUUAAAGAAAUAAAAAAACGAAAUCGGCUUACCUGGACACCAGACCAUUGGAGAACUUGGAGACUCACUUGGUCGAUCCAUGGCACAAGAAUAUCGGAGGCAUUAUCAUCCCUACGUCCCUUUUGCCUUGAGCUUCUUUUCUUUAACUUAGUUAACACCUACAGUAAAGGGACAUUACUGUUUUGUAUCAACGGAUCAUCAUGGGUUCUUACUUUUUUCAUCAUCGCCCAUGUAAUUUGAUCACUUUAGAAAUCUAUUCAAGUGGUCUCUUUACGUGUUUCAAGACAGUACAUUUUUGUGUUGGAGUCGAGGUAAUAACUGAAGUACAUGAUCAACGAGAACCUAUGCACACGUCCGACACUAGUGACCGAGAAGCUCGAUUACGUGACAAGCAAGAAAGUGAAGCAACUCAAGAAGCAAAUCUGUUGUUAGACAAAUCACUUUAAUCUUACUUUUCUCUAAUUGUAAACUUUCCAUUUACAUUUUUACAUUUAUUCUAUUACCUUUUCAUGCAUAUAUAUUUUCCUUCUAUUUAAUUUGUAACAUUUGUACAGACCCAAUUAUCGAAGAGUAAUAUUCUUUUGUUUU